rnacentral:rRNA from 1 species
UACGUAGGGUGCAAGCGUUGUUCGGAUUCAUUGGGCGUAAAGGGUGCGUAGGCGGCGCGGUAAGUCGGGUGUGAAAUCUCGGAGCUUAACUCCGAACUGCAUUCCAUACUGCGGUGCUUGAGGACUGGAGAGGAGACUGGAAUUUACGGUGUAGCAGUGAAAUGCGUAGAUAUCGUAAGGAAGACCAGUGGCGAAGGCGGGUCUCUGGACAGUUCCUGACGCUGAGGCACGAAGGUCAGGGGAGCAAACGGG